GCCAAUCAGGACCGAUGCUCACAGUGACAACACUCACGCUGAGGAUAUUGUGGGUUAGAAGAGGAGCAUGGGUAAAAUAGAGGAGAGCAGGAGAAGUAAGAGAUGAGAUGAGAGGAGAGGGGAGAGGAGGAGGAGGAGGAGGAAGAGGAGAGGAGGAGGAGGAGGAGGAGGAGAGGAAUGAGAGGAGUACAAGGAAGCGGAAAACGGACGCACGUCACGAGCUGAUGGUGACAAACCGGUGCAAUCUCACAUUAACACCUCAACAAUCAAAGAUCUUUGAGUUGAUCAAAUUAUUGUGCACUCUAGCCUACAGUUUGUUUAGAGGAUUUACAGUUUGUUUAGAGGUUUACAGUCUGUUUAGAGGUUUACAGUUUAUUUAGAGGUUUACAGUUUGUUUAGAGGUUUACAGUUUGUUUAGAGGAUUACAGUUUGUUUAGAGGAUUUACAGUUUGUUUAGAGGAUAACAGUUUUAGAGGAUUUACAGUUUGUUUAGAGGAUUACAGUUUGUUUAGAGGAUUACAGUUUGUUUAGAGGAUUUACAGUUUGUUUAGAGGUUUACAGUUUGUUUACAGUUUGUUUAGAGGAUUACAGUUUGUUUAGAGGAUUUACAUUUGUUUAGAGGUUUACAGUUUGUUUAGAGGUUUACAGUUUGUUUACAGUUUGUUUAGAGGUUUACAGUUUGUUUACAGUUUGUUUAGAGGAUUUACAGUUUGUUUAGAGGAUUUACAGUUUGUUUAGAGGUUUACAGUCUGUUUAGAGGAUUUACAGUUUGUUUACAGUUUGUUUAGAGGUUUACAGUCUGUUUAGAGGGUUUACAGUUUGUUUAGAGGGUUACAGUUUGUUUAGAGGUUUACAGUUUGACAGCGCCACUUUUUCUACAGACAAACAUUAGUCACAGGAUUGCAAAGGGAAGGUCAGAUGCAGAUAAGGGGUCUAUGAGAGGGGGUCUAUGAGAGGGGGUCUAUGAGAGGGGGUCUAUGAGAGGGAGCGGGGGGCAGGACAUGGGUGGGGCUGAUAGAGCACACAGAAGUAAGCAGCCAAAGCAAGCAGCCAAUCAUUACUCUGGGCCACAGGAAACGGAGCGGACAGGGUUGUCGUGACAACGGGAGGUCAUACCGUAUCCAGUACAUGGCCGGGUGCUGGUAGAAGUCCAACGACCCAGAGCGCUGCAAACAGAAGCUGUGCUCCAACUGGACAACAGGACACAGAAACCAGG
rnacentral:lncRNA from 1 species